CGUGCCUACGGGACGCAGCAGUAGGGAAUAUUGCUCAAUGGGGGAAACCCUGAAGCAGCAACGCCGCGUGGAGGAUGGAGGUUUUCGGAUUGUAAACUCCUUUUGUUAGAGAAGAUAAUGACGGUAUCUAACGAAUAAGCACCGGCUAACUCCGUGCCAGCAGCCGCGGUAAUACGGAGGGUGCAAGCGUUACUCGGAAUCACUGGGCGUAAAGAGCGCGUAGGCGGGAUAGCAAGUCAGAUGUGAAAUCCUAUGGCUUAACAAUAGAAUGGAAUUUGAAAUUGUUAUU
rnacentral:rRNA from 1 species